ACGAACGCUGGCGGCGUGGAUAAGACAUGCAAGUCGAGCGGGACUUGGUAGCAAUACCAAGUUCAGCGGCGCACGGGUGCGUAACACGUGAGUAAUCUGCCGAGAAGUGGGGGAUAGCUCGCCGAAAGGCGAAUUAAUACCGCAUAUGGCCAGGGAGGACAUCCUUCCGACGCCAAAGCCGCAAGGCGCUUCUUGAUGAGCUCGCGGCCUAUCAGCUUGUUGGUGAGGUAACGGCUCACCAAGGCUUUGACGGGUAGCUGGUCUGAGAGGACGACCAGCCACACUGGAACUGAGACACGGUCCAGACACCUAC
rnacentral:rRNA from 1 species